ensembl:lncRNA
CAGCAAUAUAUAUCAUACUGAUGCCAUGGAAUUUCAAAGUGAUUGUUGCGAAAAGGAUGUUGCAGCUUUGAAAAACACUAACUUUUGACCAGGUUGUGAAACUGAUGAGGCAAGGACUUGUAUCUCUCUCUCUCCUGCUUUCUCAAUGAAACCCCCCCCCACACACACACACACACACACACACAAACUGGUUUAAGUCAGCUCCCCAUCCCUGGUCUGUCCUCGGUAAGGGCCUGUCCCCUAGUCUGUCCACAGUAAGGUCUUCUCCCCAGGUCUGUCCAAAGUAAGGUCCUGUCCCCUAGUCUUUUUUUUUUUUUUACCUUUAUUUUACUAGGCAAGUCAGUUAAGAACAAAUUCUUAUUUUCAAUGACGGCCUAGGAACAAUGGGUUAACUGCCUGUUCAAGGGCAGCACGACAGAUUUGUACCUUGUCAGCUCGGGGGUUUCAACUUGCAACCUUCCAGUUACUAGUCCAACGCUCUAACCACUAGGCUACCCUGGCCAUAGUAAGGUCCUGUCCCCAGGUCUGUCCAUAGUAAGGUCUUCUCCCAAGGUCUGUCCAUAGUAAGACCCUGUCCCCUGGUAUGUCCAUAGUAAG